UACGGAGGGUGCAAGCGUUAAUCGGAAUAACUGGGCGUAAAGGGCACGCAGGCGGUCAAUUAAGUCAGAUGUGAAAUCCCCGGGCUUAACCUGGGAAUUGCAUUUGAGACUGGUAGUCUAGAGUACUGUAGAGGGGGGUAGAAUUCCACGUGUAGCGGUGAAAUGCGUAGAGAUGUGGAGGAAUACCGAUGGCGAAGGCAGCCCCCUGGGCAAGUACUGACGCUCAGGUGCGAAAGCGUGGGGAGCAAACAGG
rnacentral:rRNA from 1 species